UCAGUACCCGAAUGCCAUCAGCGUAUGGACGAACAACAGACACCAAUAAAUAUAUAAACAAGACUACUCCAGUAUGGUGUAACUUUGUUGUUACCUGUACAUGUCAGCUGACACUUGUCACUAAGAUUAUUACACACACACACACACACACACACACAGAGGAGAGAAGUUGGUGACGGUUUAUUUUAACGAUACACUGCCACGACAACGCCAAGUGUAUUCGUGAUGUUCAAAUGAAGUUUCUCCCACGUAUGGCUCAAAAUAAGCCCCCGACGUUUGACAAGCAAAACAUUCACACAGUAAGAGGAUGGCUCCAUACUUUUACUUCUGCUUUCUACCAAUCAGCUGUCUCCAUGUGUUUAACAAAAGAAGAACGAGGCUCACCGAGGACCAAUAAGAAGCAGGUUUUAUUUCUUGCUUUCGAUUUGGAGUUCGGCAAUGGCUAAGCCAUCACUAAACACCGCCCUUCGGACAAUUUUUCAGCAAAGCAUCGAUUUUAUCGUCCAUAGAAAUAGAAUAUAAAAUAUCUUGCAGCAUGCCACCGACCUGGUCAUUUUCGGAGGGUUUAGUCGAGUAUUGAUUAUCCAGACAUGAUAGUCGAAGCCAUGUUCACAUGGAUACGAACGUGCGUCGACUCUUGCUAAAGUGGGUCGCGUGCGUGUGUUCGUGUGAUGUCUCUUCGAACAGCUGAUAUCUAGGGGCGCCCACUACGAGAGAGGAGAGACCAGGGAACGGAGCUGAGAGCAGCUGCUGCAAUUGGCCUGUUUUUUCUUAGUUUUUCUUCAAAAUUCAAACUCAAAAUGGGACAGAGACGGAUCCAAGAACACGGUGAAGGCUUGGAAGAGGACAAAACAUCAAAUCCUUUUAAGAUAGAGGUAUCACUACUCUUAAUGGGAUCUUACAGCCUUGUUACUUAAAAAGGUUUUUAGGAUCAUGAUGGUGAAGUUAAGGGAUUGUAGCAGGGUGAGAAAAAGACGAGUGAGUGUUGCAAUCUUUAGAGUAAGUCGAGUCGAGACCGUUCGAAUUCCGAGGGUUAUGCAGAGACCAUCCUUGCCAGAAGAAUUUUUUUGUGACGUUUCAAUGAGGCGGUAAUUGGAAAAAAAAACUUCAAUGGAUAUUUUAAACGCACCCUGUUUUCCAACAAGGUCAUCCGUGGGUCGGUAUUUUACAGUAAGAGAAAUCCACUCUCGUUAUAUCUUUUUAUGUAACACUUGUCAUUGUAAUAAGUCCAGAGCAGAAGUCUGGUUCAAAACCUUUUAUUUUUUAUUUAUUUAUUUUUUUACCAGUAAACAUGAUUGUUUAUUUGAUGUAAAGGUCGGGCUAAUUAUAUUGAAAGUAAUAGUUGUGAUUCUCAAUUCAGUAUUCAACUGAAGUAAUAAAAUAUGUAAAAAAAAAAUUGUCAACACUGUCUCAAGAGUUUCGAUAUUUUUUUGUCAAAAUAUAAUAAAUUUAUUGUUUCUUUUA